rnacentral:siRNA from 1 species
UGUCCGUAACAUAGUUGAUAGGCA